rnacentral:rRNA from 1 species
CGGGGGGCAGCAGUGGGGAAUAUUGCACAAUGGGCGAAAGCCUGAUGCAGCAACGCCGCGUGAGGGACGAAGGCCUUCGGGUUGUAAACCUCUUUUAGUAGGGAAGAAGCGAAAGUGACGGUACCUGCAGAAAAAGCACCGGCUAACUACGUGCCAGCAGCCGCGGUAAUACGUAGGGUGCAAGCGUUGUCCGGAAUUAUUGGGCGUAAAGAGCUCGUAGGCGGUUUGUCGCGUCUGCUGUGAAAUCCCGAGGCUCAACCUCGGGCCUGCAGUGGGUACGGGCAGACUAGAGUGCGGUAGGGGAGAUUGGAAUUCCUGGUGUAGCGGUGGAAUGCGCAGAUAUCAGGAGGAACACCAAUGGCGAAGGCAGAUCUCUGGGCCGUUACUGACGCUGAGGAGCGAAAGCGUGGGGAGCAAACAGGAUUAGAUACCCGAGU